UACACACCGCCCGUCACACCAUGGGAGUUGGCUUUACCUUAAGCCGGCGCGCCAACCGCAAGGAGGCAGCCGACCACGGUCAGGUCAGCGACUGGGGUG
rnacentral:rRNA from 1 species